rnacentral:rRNA from 1 species
UACGGGGGGGGCAAGCGUUGUUCGGAGUUACUGGGCGUAAAGGGCUCGUAGGUGGCCAACUAAGUCAGACGUGAAAUCCCUCGGCUUAACCGGGGAACUGCGUCUGAUACUGGAUGGCUUGAGUUUGGGAGAGGGACGCGGAAUUCCAGGUGUAGCGGUGAAAUGCGUAGAUAUCUGGAGGAACACCGGUGGCGAAGGCGGCGUCCUGGACCAAUACCGACACUGAGGAGCGAAAGCCAGGGGAGCAAACGGG